UUCUCCUCUUGAACUUGGGUACGUUGCUAUCUUCUUUAGCAUGUCCAUAUUGCCCUUAUCCUACUCCUCCCCCUCCGUGUCCCCCAACAUUUCCACCAAAACACCCUCCACAUGUAAAGCCACCUUUCCACCCCAAACCACCGCAUCACAAGCCACCCCAUGUCAAACCACCGCACAAGCCCCCGUAUGUUCCUAAACCACCUUAUUCCCCAAGCCCUAAACCGCCUUACGUGCCAAAACCACCUCAUACUCCAGUCCCUAGGCCACCAUAUUUCCCCAAACCACCUUACACACCAAGGCCUAAGCCACCAUAUGCGCCAAAACCACCUUAUACGCCAACCCCUAAGCCACCAUAUUUCCCCAAACCACCUUACACACCAAGGCCGAAGCCACCAUAUGUGCCAAAACCACCUUAUACGCCAGCCCCUAAGCCACCAUAUUUUCCCAAACCACCUUACACACCAAGGCCUAAGCCACCAUAUGCACCAAAACCACCUUAUACGCCAACACCUAAGCCACCAUAUUUCCCCAAACCACCUUACACACCAAGGCCUAAGCCACCGUACGUGCCAAAACCACCGUACACACCAAGGCCUAAGCCACCGUACGUGCCAAAACCACCAUACACACCAACCCCUAAGCCACCGUACGUGCCAAAACCACCUUACACCCCAACCCCUAAGCCACCGUACGUGCCAAAACCACCGUAUACCCCAACUCCUAAGCCACCGUACGUCCCAUCGCCACCUUAUACCCCUCGCCCUAAACCACCGUAUGUACCAUCACCACCUUAUACCCCUAGCCCUAAACCACCGUAUGUGCCAUCACCACCAUAUACCCCAAGCCCUACCCCACCAUAUGUACCAUCACCACCGUAUACCCCAAGCCCACCAUAUGUACCAUCACCACCGUAUACCCCAAGCCCUAGCCCACCACCACCACCAAGUGGAACACCGUGUCCUCCGCCGCCGCCACCAAAGGUGAGACCGUACCCUCCACCACCAUCACAAACUUGUCCCAUUGAUACUCUCAAGCUUGGUGCAUGCGUCGACGUGUUGGGCGGUCUAAUACACAUCGGUAUAGGCAGCAGUGCAAAGGACGCUUGCUGCCCCGUGCUGCAGGGGCUACUGGACUUGGAUGCUGCAUUAUGUCUUUGCACCACCAUUAAACUUAAGCUUUUGAAUAUCAAUCUUAUUAUACCGAUCGCCCUUGAAGUGCUUAUUGACUGCGGCAAGCAUCCGCCGCCCGGAUUCCAGUGUCCUGCCUAAUUGGUGACGCUUUCCAGCCAUGCAAUUGAUGAAUGCGACUUGUUUGUUUUGGAGAUUUUGUCAAAGAUAAUGACAUGUAAGUGCAUAAAGUGGAAGUACUUCAUGAUAUCGAAGUUUGUCUUAAUAUAUGUUUUGUUCCUCUUGUGCAUAUCAAACCAAUUAUCUUUGGAGCAAAAUCUAUGUUUUGAUGGAUCCAUACUAUCUGCAAGUUUGGGAUCAUGGGGUGUCAAAUAAUCGCUUAUUUGACCCAAAUUUUAUUUGAGUUGUCCAAUUAGUUGUAACCAUCAAAUAAUUUAUUAUCACACAUAAUUUUGAGAGUAAAUUCUCAAUUGACCAUUAAAAAAAAUAAUCACAACCGACAAAUUCAAAACAGAUACUAUCAUCGUGGAAAGAAAUAUUAAUUAUGCAUUUGGAUUCUGAUAUAAGAUACGCUGAUCUUUUGAUGAUAUCCAUUUUCGCGCCUACAUAAUUCAGAUUCAACCACAAUUUUAUUGUUAUCCAAUAGCUAUUAAUAAAAUAUUAUAUUAAAAAAAAGCACAAAACUUGACCGGCACUGAAUUUAUAUUCAUUGAUUAUACUAAUGGAACCUUUCAUUUGAUGAAUUUAAUUGUUCAAUGAAAAAUAACUAGCUGAAACAGUUGAAGACGGGGUGAUUUCUCACCUCGAAAAGAGAGAGAAUUCCCCCAAAGUGCCGCUUGAUAGGAUUUGAUUUAAUUUAAUUUAAUUUAAUUUUAUGCCUUGCCCUUAAAUAAUGUGGAGUAGAGAUUGCUCUUAUUAUUGAUUCAAAAUCAUUAGAUAUGCAUUAUUAUAAAAACUUUAUAGUAAUUAUUCAAUGAAAGAGAAUUAUUAUUAAUAUCAUUUUCUUUCCAGACUGAUUAAUCAAUGAUUGUUUUGCAGGAAUGGAGCAUUAUAUGAAUUUCAGUCCAAUAACAUUUAAACAGCUCUCUUUAAGAAUGAAUUUGAGUUUUAGGCUACACAAGAUAAUCUGCCGUAUCCCUUGAUUUAACAUUCUAGUUAUUAAUUGUACGUACACAAAAAAAAAAAAAAAUCAUGGAGUGAUUGAUUUUUCCCAAACAGUUAUACUGUAGAUCAUUAAAGAAAAUAUAAAAAAAUAAAAGUUGAAACGAGUGGCCUAAACAGUAAACUUUGGGUGAAAGUUACAGAUAAUAUUUAAUUACGAUGGAGUUUUUUUUCCCCCCUUUUUUGCAUUUCUGAAACGUGUUGCCUGAUUUAACAGAGAAAAGGGAAAAUUUGAUGGUUGACACUUGGUAAUGAUUUAUAAGUAAUUUAAGGAUUUUUCUAUAAUGCUGUAUGUACUUUUACAGCAUUAAUAGUGCAGUUAUUAUAAACCCUUUGAUUUGAGUGAUUUAAUCUUAGUCAUUUAUUUAAUAUAAUAAAUAAAUAAGUAAUUAAUUAAAAGCUAGCAAGUAACUUGUAAGUUGUAGGUAAAUAUUAGUUUUUUAAUUUUAAAUUAAUAUUAACUUUAUAGCAUUUAAUAUAAGUUAUCAGAACGAGAUGCAUGUAAUCCAAGUUGAUCAUCGAGUUCAUGAUCAUGACCCUGCUGCUUGGUCAAUUGAGAUCUUUCCGACAGUACCACAUGAAAAUUCAUUUUGUCGAGGAGCUGCUGAAGUUGUACAGGAAGAAACAGAAUCCAAUCUCUCUAGUCCGACCGGUACAUUUCUCCAGGUCGCCGCCCACCAGGGUCUGGCCGCGUUGGCAGUCGAAUUUGGCGGUGGCAUUCUCUGCUGGAGAACGGGAAAAUUCUCUUGUGCUCCGUGGAACUCUGUAGUGCAGCUGGAUUCAUUGCUUGCUGUGGUGGUUAUAUCUUAGAACGUAGAGGCAAAGCUAAAUUGGCUUGCUCAGAUUAUGACAGGAGUGGGAGGUGUUGCCACUGCCAGUAGAUUUAUAAAUGGUAUGAAAAAACUACAUUAAUAACUGUGCAAGAUCAUGUGAGAAGGAACCCGUCGAGCUGGAGAUGAUCAAAUCAAGGAAGGCAUUGAAGGGCGAGGCGGAGAGAAGGAGAACAGAAUCAGAGGCUGAGAUGACUCAGAUGACGAUGCAAACUCAAUUGCAGAUCGUCCUUUGUUGAGGGGAUGAAUUCGAGUCGAAAGAGGAAGCGCGAUGAAGAAGACGAAUCACGAGUUUCUCAGAGGUAAAAUUCUUGAACAUGUCAAUGGUUAAUCAUUCAGGAACUUGAGACACUCUUUAAGAAUCCAAUUUCCUUCAAGAACAUGAGAGAAAAAACCGAUGGUUAAAUUUAUGAGAUAAAUAAAGAGAUUUUAUUUUAUCAAAUUUUUUAUCUCUUUUUUAAUCUAAAACAACCUUUUCAACCGGUUUGUUAACCGAUUAUAGUAUUUUUUAAAUGAUUAAAUUUUUCAUUAAUAAAAAUAAUGUGUACCGUUGAUUAGAUCUAAUGGCAUAUAUUUCUUACACUAUUGAUGCUGUAAAAAAAAUUACGGUAUCAUAAAGGGACUCGUAAUUUAAUCCUAAGUGUUUAGGGAGAGCAGUGACCUCUUGAAAAAUCCUCUUGUUACACUUUUUUUUUUCAUUUUUUUCUACUCCUUUAUUUAUUUAUUUUAAAUCCUUAAUUAAUUAUAAUACAUAUAUAUAUUUUUUUUUCCAAAAAAGUUUCUAUCAAAUUGAUAACAUGUAGAUACACAAUGUCAGAAGGAUUUCUAUCCUUGGUAUCAGUCAUUGUGGAACAAUUCAAAUGAAUAUACAGACAACGAGAAAGAGGUAUCAAUACCCCCUCAGAUUUCUCACAAUUACUAACACAUGCGAGGAUUGCUUUUAUUAUUAACAGUUACAAACCCCCUCUAAAUGGAGUUAGCUCUUUUCGAUAGCGGAAAGCAGUGGUAUUACCAUCGUGGUGGGGCAAAAUUUAGAAACUGUAUUUAGGAUAGACUACGAUAAAAAUAUAAAAAGACAUCAACUUUUUCAAGAAAACGGGCGACGAGCUAGUUUGGUUGGGAAUACUAUAAUUUUUAAAAUAAUUGUAAUUAGUAUUACAGUAAAAAUUAUUAAUUAUGAAGAAAAUCAAUUAAAUAUUUAAUAAAAUUUAUUUUUUAAAAAUGUUAUGAGUUAUAAAAGCAGUCAUAUAUAUUUAGUAAAUUUAACUGUUAAACUACUGUAAGAAUAUAAAUGAUUGAAUUAGAUGUUAAGAAAAAUGUAUUUAGAUAUUUAUAAACAUGUAUAUAUAUAUAUAUAUAUAUUAUUGUGUAUACAUAAUAAUUGAUAACUAGAAAUAAAUAUUUUAUAUUAUUAAUUUUAUUUUUAUCUUGUUAUCUCAAUAUAAUUGGUAAUAAUAAUAAUCUCUUUAAAGUUAAUGAUUUUAUUACCUAAUUAAUAAGGAUAAUUUUAGAUUUUUAUAAUUUAUAUAAGGAUACAUAUGAAAUUGUAUACAAUAUAAAGUUGAUUUUCAAAAUCAAAUUUUAAAAAGCUACUCAUUUCUUACUUUUCAAGUGCAUCCGAAAAAUUGGAUAUUUGGAUCUGGUUAAAUUUUAUUUUAAAUUAAAAACUAAAUUAAAAAUAUUUAUUAAAAUUAAAUUAAAAAUUAAAAAUUAAAAUUUAUUUGUCAAUUUAUGUUGUUGUUGUAUGCUAUUCAUGUUGAAUUAUUAAUUGUUGAAUUAUGAUUGAAUUUUAUUUGAUAUUAUUAGGUAAAUUAUUGAAGGUUAUUUUAAAUUAAAAGUAAAUAUUAAAAAUUAAAUUGUAUUUGUGGAUCUUUAUGAUGUUGUUGUAUGUUACUCAUGUUUAAUUAUUAGUUGUUGAAUUAUGAUUGAAUUUUAUUAGGCAAAUUAUUGAAUUUUUAAAUUAUAUGUUAAAUUAUUGAAUUAUGACUUUUGCAGAUCUAGAUAUCCAAAAUAUCUGCCCACAUCUGUUGCGGAUAUAACCUGUAUCCGGAUUCACAUAUUUUUUUGCGGAUUCAGAUGUAGAUCCAAAUGUAGAAAUGUAAUGCAGAUAUAGAUGCAGAUGCACCUAUAUCAGGAUUCGGAUCCAGAUUUUGUCAACCCUAUUUCCCGCACUUUAAAAUUCUAGACCAAAAAACUACUAAUAUAUAUAGGGAAUAAUCUUUGAGUGAUAAUUAUAGAUUAUAAGAUUGUGGGGCUUUGAUUUUUUUUAAAAUUAUAUAAGUGUUUAGUUGAAUUUUUAUUGAAAAAAAUAAUUUUAACUUGGGUUAUUUAUGUAUUUUCAAUUGAAUAGGGGUUUAUAAAUACUUUUGUGGGGGUGUUACUAACAAUACUUCUUUUUCUUUUGGGGCGUGGGGCGUGGGGCGUGGGCUAUAAGUAUGGGUCAUGGCGAUCUAGCAUGUCCUCAUUGGCACCCUAAAAAAAUCCUCUUAGAAAUUUCAUUUUCAAUUAUAUUCUAUUUAGUGGUAAAGAUAAUAUUUUUUUCCCAUUAAAUAGACACUAAUUUCAUUUAUAAAUAUCUCAAGUUUUAAUAAUUUUCUCACUCUUGAAGUCUUAAUAUUUGUAUUCUUCUCUUCAAACUUUCUUUAUUAUUUAAUUUCUAUAAAAAAAUCUAAAAGAGAAAAAGUAAGAAAAACCUUAUACUUAGAAAAAGUAAGAAAAAGCUUAUUAUACAUAUAAGCUUUGGGUGGAGCGAUUAGUUUGAGAAUCCUCAAAAUUAUUUGAAGUGGGAUAAAAUUUUAUUUAGAGUAAUGAUAUAGUCACAAACUCUUGUACAAACUUAUUUUGUACACACUGAUGUGGCACGAUAAAAUUGGCUAAAUUAAAUAUCUCUUGACCCACAUGAUUUAUUUCUAUUAUUUUAUAUUUUCAUUCAACUAAUGAAUUAAUACCACAUCAGUUUGUGCAAAAUAAGUUUGUACAAGAAUUUGUGACUGUAUCAUCACUCUUUUAUUUAAUUUAUUUUCCAUUAUGUUGUAUCCUAAUUUGGUUGCUAUGUUUAUUACAAGAAUUUUGUUUUCGAUUAUAGAAUUACUAUGCAAGUAAAGUAAGUUGCAAAGAGAGAGAGAAAAUGUAAGUGGGUUAAUCUUAAUUCUAUUAAUAUUUGUCCUUAAAUAUGUAAUAUAAUAUAAGCAGAGUUUUAUGAGAUUAAUAAAGGGAUGCCAAUAGUCGACUGGUUAGGCGGGACCCCUACCUGUAAUAUAAAUCAUAAAAUGAAGCGAAUACACAAGGAGGGGGACAUAAACCAAAACCUCAAAGAGUAACUAAAAAUACACACGAAUAACUAAAAAAGAAUAAAGACAACAAAAAGAAAAGGAAAACCAUAAAUGCCAGCAUCUUAUGUGAGAAACAAUCUAUGCAUCCAAAUGGAGAAUACCAGAUAAGUCUGUAGGAAGAUCUUAAGGACAUAAGAAACACUGACUAGAUGAGACCAUGCCCAAUUGACCAAAAAAUUAGCAGCAGAGGUAGCCUUAUGAAACAGUCAGCUCUUAUAGUUUAUACAUGAGCCAACCUACUAAAUUUUUCAUUCAAUGUUAAACUUAUCUUGCCAAUUAUGCCAAUGACACAAUCUUGGGCGUUUAUAUAAUUUCAAUAAGAGUGAUAAAAGAUUUUGAUUGCAACAAAGUAUUUAUACAUAUUGUAUUUAUAUCAAUUAAUUGAGUAAUGACUCUAGCAUGGUUUGAACCCUCCCGACUAUAUAUAUAUAUAUAUAUAUAUAUAUAUAUAUAUAUAUAUAUAUAUAUAUAUAUAUAUAUAUAUAGAAAUGUUUAAAUCCAGAAUUUUAAAGUGCGGAAACGUCCGGGAAAAUGUAUAAACCGUGCGGUUUAAGCGCUUUAAGUUUUCCCGGACUUUUCCCGCACUUUAUGAUCCCGGAUAAAAAAACUACUAUAUAUAUAUAUAUAUAUAUAUAUAUAUAUAUAUAUAUAUAUAAGAGUGCUGGUAUAACAAUAUUGUAUAAUAAAUAUUUAAUUAGUUUAACAUUCGUAUUUAAUAACCACCAAUAAAAGUCUUGCAUUUUGAUUAGAUAAGGUAUAAAAGGGUUGCAGUUUUUAUUUCAUAUUGUAAUGAUAGUACUUUUAAAAUACAGUAUAAAAAUAAGGAUUAGAUUCCUCUCCUGGUUUAAGCAUUCAUGACCUUUUAAUAAUCUUAUUCCAUAUGUCAUGUAGUAAUAGUGUAUGGAUAGAAUAUAUUUUAAAUUUAUUAACCACCAAUGAACACAUAAAUUUUUAUUUAGAAGAAGUUCAAAUCAACAGAUUUUAAUCCGUGAACAUAAUAGAGAUCGAAGAGAAACUACAACUCAAAUAAGAAAAAAAGCCUUACAACUUCAUUUAACAAAUAUUAAAAAAGCCUUACAACUUCAUUUAAUAAAUAUUAAAAAAGCCUUACAACAUUUAUAUUAGAUUCACGAGCAACAAGGGAUCAAUAUUGAACAUGACAUGCAAUUAUUACAUCGAGACAUGAAUGUGUCUUCAAGUAUUAUACGAACUUGAAGCUCUCACACGUUAUUGUUAUUCUUUUAUGAGAAAAUAAACGAAACUAGUAACAUAUAAAAUAUUAAUAUGGUCAAUUAAUAUAUAUAUGUAUGUAUGUAUAUUUCCCUCAGAAACUGCAUAUGCGUGGGGCGUCACCAAUUAAUUAAUGGGUGGACACUGAAAUCCUGCUGGCGGAUACUUGCCACAGUCGUUGACAAGUACUUGCAGGGAGAUGGGUACGAGAAGAUUGAUGAGAUUUGGAGCCUUAAUUCUAAUGGCAGUGCAAAGACAUAUUGCAGCAUCCAAAUCUACUAGCCCAUGAAGCAAUGGGCAGCAUUUCUCCUUAGCACUGUCGCCAAGACCAAUGUGAAUUAAACCACCAAGAACAUCGACACAUGCACUAAGCUUGAGAGCAUUAAUGGGACAAGUUUUUUGUUGUUUUGGUGGCGGUGGGUAUCUCACGUUUGGUGGUGUUGGUGGCGAUUUUACAACUGGAGGAGGAGUUGGUUUUUCCUUUGGCGGUGGUGGUGGUUUCACAACUGGAGGAGGAGGAGUACUGGGUUUCACCUUUGGUGGUGGUGGUGGUUUUACAACUGGAGGAGGAGGAGUGGUUUUCACCUUUGGUGGGGGUGGUGGUUUUACAGCUGGAGGAGGAGGAGUUGGUUUCACUUUUGGUGGUCGGGGCGGCGGCUUAGGGCUCGGCGAAUGAGGCGGUGGGGGACAAUUUGGUGAAGAAGGAGGAGGAGGGGUUGGUUUGGAGCAGUCACAAGCUAAAGAAGAGAGCAAAGCACCCGAGUUCAGGAGGACAAUCAAGAAACUAGUUAAUUGAUAUUUGCCCAUGAUGAAAUAAUUUCGAAACUCUCUAAUGAACUAGCUAGCUAGGGUUUGGAAUGCAUUCACUAUUGAAUGAGUGCCUUUUUAUAGAGAGUAAGAAGUUUUGGAUUUUUAAAAUUUUUCAGUUUUAAUUCGUUGAUCCAUAGACUUAAGGGCAAAGUACAACCCAAGCCAACUCACGAAUGGACAGAUAGACAGACAUUAUAUAUUUUUUUCUUUAAUGCUUGGAACAUGGGAUUGAUUAUCGUUUUAAGGAAGAAGACUCGAUUGAUUAUUUAACCAAAAAGUUGGUAUAGUUAAUUAAGCGUAUUGUUCUUAUAAUUUGAAACGUAAAAUUUGCAAUUAAUCUCUAGCAAAUGCAAAACUUAAAACUCUAAUAUAACUUCUGCAUUAGAAUUUCGAAGGGCGUGGGGACCUGUACUCUCAAUUUCACAUGAAUAUUUGCAAGCUGUUCAAUCAUUGAAGACGAAUGCAAGCAACAAGCAUCUUGCGGGGACACUUCUUCAUUUUUCUUUGGGCCGUUACAUGAUAACAAUAUUUAUAGUUAUAUUAUUAGCCCAUUAACUAAUCUUAAUAUUAGAUAUUUUAACCUAUUAACUAAUCUUAAUAUGAGAUAUUUUUGUUAGUAUUUUUUACUAGUCCUUGUCAUGUAUAAAAUAGACCCACUAGUACACAAGUAAGAGUCUAUCUCAUGUAAAAAUUAACUCAAGAGUUGAGAGUUGUCUCAAGUUUAUAUUUAAUUCAAUAAGUUUUCUCAACCUAUCUGAGAUUUUUUCCUUAUCAUCCCCAUCACUUGCAAACCAAUAUAUCUUUUGUUUUUUUGGUCUUUAUCAUGCGGAAAAAUACAUAGUAUGUGCCAACUUGUGCAUAACUAUGAAUCUAAUACCAUAUAAAGGUAUGUGAGUCUAAUUCAUACUCUAAAAUUAGCUCAAGAGUUAAGGAUUACCUCUAAUUUAUAUUACUAGUUCAGUAACUAAUCUCAGCAUAUGGUGGCUCCACCAGAGGAAAGUGUUAUGCACCUAUAUACAUAAAUUAUAAUGAGUAAAAUUAUUCAUGAUGAUACAACCACAUUAAUGAAUAAUCAGUAGUAAUUGAACCAUGAAAGUGUCAUUCUUCGUUUAAGGGUGCCUUUGACAUAUUGUUUGCACACACAAAAAAAAAAAAAAAAGCGCUCAAAAAAGCCCCAAUUAAGGAUGUCCAUUGUACCCACAUAUGUCAGCAUAUGUGAGUUCUGAAACUCUUCAAAAAAAUACCUUUAUAUUAUUCGGAGUAUAAAUUUAUCUUGGAGAGUUUGGAGCAGAUUUGAUUUGGGUUUUCGUAAAAUUUAAUAUUCAAACAACUACUACUUCUUUAAAAGCAUAAAUAAACAAAUAAAUAAGGUGAUUAAUUUUUGUUUAAUUAGUGUGGUCAUUAAUUAUAGCGAUAUUGAAAUUUUAAUGCAUGAUCUUCUAAGAUUUGUUUUAGUUUUGAGAUUUCAGAUCAUAGUUGUUUGAUUUAUAUUUUAUUAUUUUGUGUUUUCAAAUCUUCGUGUAAAAAUGUCAACUACGCUUGCGCAAAUCUUGCUUUGUCCAUCUUUAAAAGAUCUGAAGAAGCUUCGAUUGCUCCCAAACUUUUAGAAAGAAUUCAAAAAUAUUAAUAUAUACCGCAUGAUAUGCGCUCACUGUUUAGAAAAAAAAUGUACUGCUAGAGUUUAUUUUUAAAUAUUCUCAAACUGCAUUCUGUUUUCUUACUAUAUUUUGGGAAAAUCAGUAUAAUUGAGAUGCGAAUAAGGUCGACAAUUAUACUAUUAAAAUGCAGUACAUGUGUUAUUUACGCAUUGCUUAUCUAAAUAGUUUGUUUUAUUUGCGCAUUGUUUAUAUAUAUAUAUAUUUAUUUAUUUAUUUAUUUAUUUAUUUAUCUAUAAUGUAUAACGAGGAUUCCCAAUCUUUUAAAUAUAAUAAAUAUGAAAAAUCGUUCUUCGUUUCUUGCAUGGCCAUUUUAAUAAAGCAGGUUAAGUUUAGGGAUGGCAAAAUCCUCCACGGGUUUGGGGCCCCAUGGAGCCCCACCCCAAAUGGAGAAAUUUUUUAGUAAUUUUUGGGGAAUGGGGUGGGGAAUGGGGGAAAAGUAAUCCCCAAAUUGUUAACGGGGUGGGGUUUGGUAUUGCACUCCCCACCCCACUCCCACCCCAAUCCCCAUUAUAUAUAAAUAUGUUUUUAAUUCUUAUUUAAUAAUUUGUAUUUUAUCAACUAUAAUGUCAAUUAAUGAUUUUUUUUAAUUUUUAUGUAAUAUAAAUAAAAUAUGAAUAAAAGAAAAUUCUACAAUAUUUUUCAACUUUAAAACAUUAAUAUAUUUUCUUUUCUCUUUUAAGGUGCUGCUUUCUUUAAAUAUUUUUCACUUUUAAUAUCAUUUUAAGAUAUUGUUUCAAAUUUUUAGAGAUUUUUUUUUAAAAUUAAAUACUUUAUAAUAUUGUGAUGAUUUUAUCUUAAGUCUCUAAUUUUUAAUUUACUGAAAUCAUAUUUUUAUAUCUACUAUAAAAUAUGUAAAUGGGGAAUGGGGUGGGGAUGGGGGAAUCAUUCCCCACGUGGGGAUUCCCCAUCCCCAACCCACUAAAUUUAUUGGGGAAUGGAGGCAAAAAUUUUUAAUGGGGUAGGCAUCCCCACCCCCACCCCGCCCCAUUGCCAUCCCUAGUUAAGUUAACGUGAAGUUACAUUUUUGAUCAUUCUGCCAUCUGAAGUAAGACCACAAAGUCGUGACUAUUGUGUAAAAGAAAAGUGAAAACAGAUCAAAGGUGAACAGUUUGACCUAUAAUUUCUCUGUUAACAAAACUAUAAUUAUUUUUUAUCGAACCCAAAAAAAGUAAAAAAAAAAAAAAUGUGUCCAAUAAGCGUUUAGCCUCAAUAAUUGCAUGCAUGCACAGAUAAUGUUCAUGAAAAAUCGACAGUGUUGAUGCAAGAAUUUUCGCGCACCAGCAGGAAGGCCGAAUAACCUUGGUGGUGAGGAUCCUGGGUAAAAUACCGGAGAUGGAAAAUGCGGUUGCUAGCUUUUGAAUUGCUUUAAUUUCAUAGAUACGAAAUAUAUCCAAUGAUACAGUAAAGAAAUAACAUAUGAUAGUAACAAGCCAAUUAGCUAGAUCUCUUCUUUUUAAGCUGACCUUGGUCUUUGUCACCUUGAUGAUAAGAUCCUUCGUGGUAGAAAUAGUAAAGAACAGGUGAGGAUCUCCUCAUGAAGCUAUUUCGAAGUCAAUAAGUAAUGGUGAGGUCAGCAAGAACCUUCUCUCUUAAUUAGUUGCUCUUCCCUCUCUCCUCGAUCAUCUCUUGAAUUAUAUGGGUGCUAUCUCCACGAGUUAAAAGACUUAUUUGUGUUCUUUUUUGUAGAGAAAAUAAAAUAUUCCUGUGCUACGUUCCUCAUUCUUAAUCCACCAUAGUUCUUCUGUUGGACAUUUGUUCUAUUUUCGUUAGUUGUGAUUCCUCAUCCUUAAUCCAUAACUCUUCUAUUGGACACAUGUUCUCCUUUCGUUAGUUAUGUUGAGAUUUCUUAAUGAAAUUUUACUAUAAGAAAAAAAAAAUAGUAAGUAGAGAUUAAUAAAAUCACCUUAAGUACUUUUUUGAGAUAAAAGUCACCUCAUGUACUUUAGAAAUGAUUAACUUUGUUUUUAAGUUAUUUUCAUAUUUAGAUAUUGAGCAUGCUGUCGUAUAUUCUAUAUUUUUUUUAUAUCAACAUGGUGGCAUAUUUUUUUUCUUUUUUUUUUUUGGUAUAACAGAUAAUAUAUGUGCCCUCGCCCCUCGCUCUUUGAAAUUCUAAUGCAUCGGAUACAAGGUAAUUCAUAUAAAAAAGACAAUUUUAAUAAGAUAAUCUUCGAAUACUCUCAUUGAUGAUGUGAACCCUUACCCGCAGCCUCUGCAGUAAAGCCUUCACUAGCUGGCUAAGCCCUUAAUUAGUAAUGACACAUUAAUAAUAUGAUCAAUCGACCAUUGAUCUUCUUGGUAUCACAAUGAAUCCCAUGUUUCAAGCAUGCAAUGAAAGAAAAAGGUAAAUGUCCGUUUAUCUGCCCAUUUGUGAGUUUGCUUGGAUUUUCCUUUAAGCCCUCGAGUCAAUGAAGCAAUCAAAAAUCAUAAAAAAGUAAAACGACCCAAAUACAAAACUCUCUCUAUAAAAAGGCAUCCAUUCAGUAGUGAAUGCACACCAAACCAGCCAGUUCGUUAGGGAGCUUUUGAAAUUAUUUCAUCAUGAGCAAAUAUCAAUUAACUAGUUUCUUGAUUGUCCUCUUGAACUUGGGCACUUUGGUCUCUUCUCUAGCUAAUGACCACUCAUAUAAUCUUCCUCCUCCUCUUCCUUCACCAAGCUGUCCCCCACCGCCUCAGUCGCCGAGCCCUAAGCCGCCGCCGCCACCACCACCAAUUGUUUACCCAACUCCUUGUCCCCCAGUUACAAAACCACCACCCACGCCAGAGGUGAAACCCACUCCUCCUCCUCCAGUUGUAAAACCACCACCCACGCCAGAGGUGAAACCCAAUCCUCCUCCUCCAGUUGUAAAACCACCACCACCACCACCAAAACAACAAACUUGUCCAAUUGAUGCUCUCAAGCUUGGUGCAUGCGUCGAUGUCCUUGAAGGUUUAAUUCACACUGGUCUUGCUCGUGAUGUUAAGAAGAAAUGCUGCCCAUUGCUUGACGGGCUAGCAGACUUGGAUGCUGCAAUAUGUCUUUGCACUGCCUUAGAAUUAAGGCUCUAAACCUCAUCGAUAUCCUCGCACCCUUCUCUUUGCAAGUACUUGUCACCGACUGCGGCAAACAUCCGCCAGUAGGAUUUCAGUGUCCUACCAAUUAAUUGGUGACGCCCCAUGCAUACCAUGCAGUUUGCGUGAAAAGGAGAUCUUAAUCGAUCAUAUUAAUAAUUGCAUGUUACUAGUUUCGUUUAUUUUCUCAUAAAAAAAUAAUAAUAAUAACGUGUGGGAGCUUCAAGUUAGUAGUACUUGAAGGCAUGCACGUGCGUGUGUGCGUAUGCCUUAUCCAUCAGUGAUAUCGCUUAUCAGUUGUAAAACCAAUAUUGUAUGUUGUGCAAUCCAAAUAAGGAAAAAAAAAAUGAAUGUUGUGGAAUAAAUAUUAGGGAAAAGGACAUUCAACCCUUCAACGUUUAGGAAAAUAGACAAAAAACCCUUCAACGUUUCAAAAAGGACUUAUAACUCCCUUUCCGUUAAUAAACACCGUUUGUUUUAACAGUAAAUUAUUUUUAAUUUUUAAUUACUAUUAUACCCUUAUAAUAAAUAUAAAUUAAUAUAUUGAUUUGAGACAUGUCACAAUUAAUAAUUUUUUUUAAACUAAAAAUUGAGAUACAAUUACAUUUUUGCCCAAAUUAUUUGCUACAAAUUAUACAUUUCUAAUGAUCAAACCUUUCAUAUGUGAUUAUUACUAAUAAAACGAAAUUUGAUUAAACCCUUUUUCUUUGAGGAAUCAAAACCAUAUUAUUAUUGUUAGAAAGGUAUAAUUUAUAGUAAAUAAUUUUGGCAAAAAAAUAAUUGUAUCUCAAUUUUAAGCUUUUAAAAAAUUAUUAAUUGUGAUAUAUCUCAAAUUAAUAUAUUAAUUUUUUUAUUAUAAGGGUAUAAUAGUAAUUAAAAUUUAAAAAUAAAUUUACUGUUAAAACAAACGGUGUUUGUUAACGGAAAGGGGGUUAUAAGUCCUUUUUGAAACGUUGAAGGAUUUUUUGUCCAUUUUCCUAAACGUUGGGGGGUUAAAUGUCAUUUUUCCUAAAUAUUAUUUACUGACAAAUUGUUUGGCAUUUAUUUUAGGGAGAGUGACAUUUUAUUUCUUCUUAAAAUUUAUUUCUAACACUUUAACUUUUAAUAUAUGUUUAAUACACCAUUUUAUUCAGAUGUUUGAACAGUUACUAACAAAAUACAGUUUUGAACGGUAAAAGUUAUAUUUCAAUAAAUAACUUAACUAAUUUUUAAUCUGCAGAGGUUUGGGCUAGCCAAUUUGGACAUGAGAAUGUCACCUUUAUUCUUCAACGACCUGUAUUUUUUCUAUUGUCGUUUUAACUCCAAAGAUGAAAUGAGAUAAAGAAAAAAAAAAAAAAGCUACUAGGGACUAAAUAGGUAAAUAGAAAGUUUAGGAGGGAUUAAAAUACUAUUCUUCUUUUAGUUUCUAUAUUUUAAGUUAAGUAUUUAUUUAAUCCCUAUUUUUAAAAAGUAUCUCAAGACAAUCAUGUUGCAAAACGUGUUACACUCCUAUCCUUUCUUUAUUUUUUAUUUUUCAAUAAUACAUUUGCAAUAAUAUUCUUGAAGAUAUUAAUAAAUAGGAAAAAAAUAGAAACUUAUCAAAUUAACCUUAAAAGUAAUAUAAAAAAUUACACAAACUUUUAUAUUAUUAUUUUACGUUUAGGAUUAAUUUAAUAAAUUCAUUUUUUAUAAAAUAAUUAUUCAUAAGAUUGUUGUAAGGUUAUUAAAAAUUAUUUUAAUUGACUGAUAUUAAUUUGUUUAUAAAUCAUUAUUAGUAAAAUUGUUGCACGGUACAAAAAAUACUAUUUCUUUCACAUAGAUAUUUAUUGGUUAAUUUACUAAUAAAUGACGAAUAAUUAAUUUACCAAUUAACUUUUUUAUAGAUAAAUUAAUUAAUGUCAAGAAUAUUGUUGGAAGGGCUAAAUAGAAAGAAAAACUAAGGGUAAGAAUGUAACGUAUUUAACUACAAGAGUGUUUUGAAGUAUUAUAUGGGUGCCAAAAGACUUAUUUGUGUUAUUUCCACGAGUUAAAAGACUUAUUUGUGUUCUUGUUUGUAGAGAAAGUAGAAUAUUUAUGUGUUAUGUUUCUCAUUCUUAAUCCAUAACUCUUCUGUUGGACAUGUGUCCUAUUUUCGUUGGCUGUUGAUUUCUCAUCAUUAAUCCAUAACUCUUCUAUUGGACAUGUGUCCUACUUUCGUUAGUUGUUGAGAUUUCUUGAUGAAAUUUUGCUAUGAGGAAAAAUAUAAAAUAGUAAGUAAAGAUUAAUAAAAUCACCUCAAGUAUUUUUUUGAGAUAAAGGUCAGCUCAUGCGCUUUAGAAAUGAUCAACUUAGUUUUUAAGCUAUUUUCAUAUUUAGAUAUUGAGCAUGUUGUCGUAUAUUCUAUUUUUUUAUAUCCACAUGGUGGCAUUUUUUUUUUUUUUUUGGGGGGUAUAACAGAUAAUAUAUGUGCCCUCGCCCCUCGCUCUUUGAAAUUCUAAUGCAUCGGAUACAAGGUAAUUCAUAUAAAAAAGACAAUUUUAAUAAGAUAAUCUUCGAAUACUCUCAUUGAUGAUGUGAACCCUUACCCGCAGCCUCUGCAGUAAAGCCUUCACUAGCUGGCUAAGCCCUUAAUUAGUAAUGACACAUUAAUAAUAUGAUCAAUCGACCAUUGAUCUUCUUGGUAUCACAAUGAAUCCCAUGUUUCAAGCAUGCAAUGAAAGAAAAAGGUAAAUGUCUGUUUAUCUGCCCAUUUGUGAGUUUGCUUGGAUUUUCUUUCAAGCCCUCGAGUCAAUGAAGCAAUUAAAAUUAACGAAAAAGUAAAACGACCCAAAUUCAUAACUCUCCCUACAAAAUGGCAUCCAUUCAGUAGUGAAUGCACUCCAAACCAGCCAGUUCGUUAGGGAGUUUUUGAAAUUAUUUCAUCAUGAGCAAAUAUCAAUUAACUAGUUUCUUGAUUGUCCUCUUGAACUUGGGCACUUUGGUCUCUUCUCUAGCUAAUGACCACUCAUAUAAUCCUCCUCCUCCUCCCCCCGUUACAAAACCACCACCCCCCCAAAAGUUGAAACCCACUCCUCCUCCUCCGGUUUUAAAACCACCACCGCCGGCGCCGCCAAAGCUGAAACCUCCUCCUCCUCCUCUAGUUGUAAAACCACCACCGCCGGCGACGCCAAAGGUGAAACCUCCUCCUCCUCCUCCAGUUGUAAAACCGCCGCCGCCGCCACCGCCAAAGGUGAAACCUCUUCCUCCUCCUCCAGUUGUAAAACCACCACCACCGCCGCCAAAGGUGAAAC
rnacentral:lncRNA from 1 species